CUGAAUUUGGAAUCAGGAAAACCUCGUCUAUUAAUCCUGACUCAGAGACCUUUCCACUUCUGUGGUUCCGGACAAAUCUCGUGACUGCCCUAAAUCUUGAUUUUCUCAUCUGUAAAAUGGCUGGAGCUGUUUAAGAACCUUGGGAGCUACUCUAAUCAGAGGGCAGAUCCUGCAGGCCUUUCGGGCGAUCCCCUCGUUUCUGAGGGAGAUUCCUGGUGUGGUAACCCUCUAGUCUUGGCAAGAAGGAGGAGUCCUGGUUUCAGGAGAUGGCUUUCUGUGUAAGGGAAGAAAGAGGGACAUAUAGGGAAAUGAAGAUGAUACAACAACAAAAGAUAUCAAUAUUGCUAAAAAAAAAAAAGAAUUCUGUGACAAACUUUCCCUUUCUACAAUUUGGUUGUGGCUUAGUUCUUGUCAAGAUGGUGGUAGUUGGUUUGAGGGUGGAGGAAGGGAGGGAGGGAGGAUGAUACCCCCUGCCUUCAGCAUCUCUUCCCACCUGUUAAAUUUGCUGAUGCCAGAGCAGAGCAGGCUUGAGAUGCUUCAGGCUACUAUGGUCAAUCACCUCUUGGUUAUCAGAACAGGCAAGUUGGGGUGUUGCCCAUAACCCCUGAGGAUUCUUAGAACUCCAGGACCAGAUGGCAAAUCCCUUAGCCAUUACUAGAGCUGAUAGACAUGAAAAGGAAACCUUAUUGUUGUAGAAAGAGAAUCUGUGAUUCUUACAAGAACUAAAUGAACUCCAGGUUAUGUCAGCACUAUUUCAUCAGGCAGGAGCCUUGAGUAUAAUGGACUAUUAGGCAGAGACCCCAUUUUCUUUCUAAGAGAUUACAGACACUCCUCCCCCAACUUCUCCCACCUGAUCUACCACCCCCAGAGCAUGAAGAGAAAAAGCCAAGAACAUUUGGAACUGGGCCUACUGUGGCUAUGGGGAGGCAAGGCUGGUCUCAAAUCAGAUCCAGGUGGUACUGAGUGAGUCGUGGGAAAAGGAGAAACUUGCUGGCAGGGUGCUACUGAUCUGGACACACAGUGGGUUAGAGGUAAGGCUGUGGGAGGGGUAAUAGAUUGCUUGGGUGGAACCAGAGAUGUAUGGGAAUGCUCAGGAUGGCACAAAGCAAAAAGAUGAUGAACAAUUUCAUGAAAUGUUUCAUAAUGUCCUGAUUCUUCCAAGUGUUUCCUCCAUGAAGCAGCUUUCCCUGACCCCAAUCCACACUAAUCUCUGCCUCUUUGGAACAGUCAUAACUAUUUCAUAUUUCAUUUCCACUUAUCAUUUCUGUUUUCCUUUCAGUCUUAGUGUAGUAUCACCUUUGACAUCAGGUGUUUUUAACCUGGGACCCACAGCCCCACAAGGGGUCUACUGACAGCUUUUGCAAAUUACCAUACACUAUAUCACAAAUGUGUUUUUAAGGAAACAUUUUGGGGAGGGAGGGAGGUACCUGGGAACUUUAAUGUAACAAAGAAAUUUUAAAAAAAGGAAAUAGUUAACUGAGAAAAUAUUUUGAUAACUAUAUUUUAACAUAGUUGUUUUCCUUUGUAAUGAUAAGGAUUUUAUUUUAUGCACUUUCAAACAUUCUUCCCAGAAGGGGUUCAUGAACUUCACUAGACUGCAGCCAGGGGUCCAGGACAUGAAACAAGGAAUAGCUCUCGUUGGACACGAUACCUACCUGUUUCCAAGUUCUAGUGCCUUCUCCAAUUACCUUACAUUUUAUAUGAACCUAGAUCUGUUUUCUCCUCUGAAGUUGCAAGCUUCUUAAAAGUAGGGACUAUUUAUUUUUGUCUUUGUAGCAUUGGUGAUGAGUACAGUGCCUCGUGCUUUGUAGGUGCUUAAUAAAUGCUUAUAAUUGAGCAAUAAAUAUCUUGCCUUUUACUGCCAAUGAUCUUUUCAUUUGUUUCUCCUCUGACUAAUUUCCUUGAGGGUGGGGACAAUGGCUCCUGAUAAGAGACAGCUUAAGGGACUCAAUAGAAUGCUAGACCUAAAACAAGGAGACCUGAGUUCAAAUCUUGUUGUGGGGCCUUAUUAACUAAAUGACUUAAGGAAAAUUAUUUUAAUAUCUGCCAGCCUCACUUCUAGAAUGUUUUUGCUGCCUUUCCACCCUGGA